rnacentral:rRNA from 1 species
UUUAAUUGGACUCAACGCCGGACAUCUCACCGGUCCCGACAGUAGUAAUGACAGUCAGGUUGACGACUUUACUCGACGCUACUGAGAGGAGGUGCAUGGCCGCCGUCAGCUCGUACCGUGAGGCGUCCUGUUAAGUCAGGCAACGAGCGAGACCCACACUUCUAGUUGCCAGCAACACCCCUGCGGUGGUUGGGUACACUAGGAGGACUGCCAUUGCUAAAAUGGAGGAAGGAAUGGGCAACGGUAGGUCAGUAUGCCCCGAAUGGACCGGGCAACACGCGGGCUACAAUGGCUAUGACAGUGGGAUGCAACGCCGAGAGGCGAAGCUAAUCUCCCAACGUUGUCGUAGUUCGGAUUGCGGGCUGAAACCCGCCCGCAUGAAGCUGGAUUCGGUAGUAAUCGCGUGUCAGAAGCGCGCGGUGAAUACGUCCCUGCUCCUUGCACACACCGCC